rnacentral:rRNA from 1 species
UACGGGGGGGGCAAGCGUUGUUCGGGUUUACUGGGCGUAAAGGGCUCGUAGGUGGCCGAUUAAGUCAGGCGUGAAAUCCCCAGGCUCAACUUGGGAACUGCGUCUGAUACUGGUUGGCUUGAAUUCGGGAGAGGGAUGCAGAAUUCCAGGUGUAGCGGUGAAAUGCGUAGAUAUCGGAAGGAACAUCAGUGGCGAAAGCGACUUCCUGGACCAAUACUGACGCUCAUGUGCGAAAGCGUGGGGAGCAAACAGG